rnacentral:pre_miRNA from 1 species
CGUGCACCAGUGGGGUCCCUCAGCCUGGCCUGUGGGAUCGGGCCGAAACCAACUUUCCAACAUCUUCCAAGGGGUCCUAGAUUGUGAGAAGGUGCAGGCAAGGCUGAGGGACCCCACUGGUGCACA